rnacentral:rRNA from 1 species
UACAGAGGUCUCAAGCGUUGUUCGGAAUCACUGGGCGUAAAGGGUGCGUAGGCGGCGGGGAAAGUCAGAUGUGAAAUCCGGAGGCUCAACCUCCGAAUUGCAUCCGAUACUACCUCGCUAGAGAUUUGUAGAGGAGCUUGGAAUUCUCGGUGUAGCAGUGAAAUGCGUAGAUAUCGAGAAGAACGCUCGCAGCGAAGGCGAAGCUCUGGGCAAAUUCUGACGCUGAUGCACGAAGGCUAGGGGAGCAAACGGG